GACAGAGGGGGCGAGCGUUGUCCGGAGUCACUGGGCGUAAAGCGCGCGCAGGCGGCAACCUAAGUGUCGUGUGAAAGCCCCCGGCUCAACCGGGGGAGGCCAUGGCAAACUGGGUCGCUCGAGCUGCGGAGAGGCCCCUCGAAUUGCCGGUGUAGCGGUGAAAUGCGUAGAGAUCGGCAGGAAGACCAAGGGGGAAGCCAGGGGGCUGGCCGCAGGCUGACGAUGAGGCGCGACAGUGUGGGGAGCAAACCGG
rnacentral:rRNA from 1 species